rnacentral:rRNA from 1 species
UCGAGAAUCUUCGGCAAUGCGCGCAAGCGUGACCGAGCGACGCCGCGUGCGGGAUGAAGGCCUUCGGGUUGUAAACCGUAAAAGUGAGGAGGAAGGCUCCGUGAAGAGCGGAGUUUGACCGAGCCACAGUAAGGCCGGGCUAAGUUCGUGCCAGCAGCCGCGGUAAGACGAACCGGCCAAACGUUAUUCGGAAUCAUUGGGCUUAAAGGGUGCGUAGGCGGCGCGGUCAGUUGGGUGUGAAAGCCCUCGGCUCAACCGAGGAAUUGCGCCCAAUACUGCCGUGCUAGAGGGAGACAGAGGCGAGCGGAACUGAUGGUGGAGCGGUGAAAUGCGUUGAUAUCAUCAGGAACACCGGUGGCGAAAGCGGCUCGCUGGGUCUCUUCUGACGCUCAGGCACGAAAGCUAGGGUAGCGAACGGGAUUAGAUACCCCCGUAGUCC